CACGUAGGGUGCGAGCGUUGUCCGGAAUUAUUGGGCGUAAAGAGCUCGUAGGCGGUUUGUCGCGUCUGCUGUGAAAACCCGAGGCUCAACCUCGGGCCUGCAGUGGGUACGGGCAGACUAGAGUGCGGUAGGGGAGAUUGGAAUUCCUGGUGUAGCGGUGAAAUGCGCAGAUAUCAGGAAGAACACCAAUGGCGAAGGCAGCUCUCUGGGACGGUACUGACGCUGAGACGCGAAAAGCGUGGGGAGCGAACAGG
rnacentral:rRNA from 1 species